CCCUUCCCCCAGAGCCAGGGAGGAGGCGCAGCCAGGACGCAGGUGAAACCGACUCGGCCCUAUCCCGGGAACUUUCGCGGUGGGGACUCGUUGCGAGAGGCUAGAGACGCGCAGGUGCGGCCUGGGAGCCGCCCUCUCUCACUGAGACUGCCGCGGGGACUCAGCCCUGGGGCCACCCGCAGGGGACCCACGGACCUCCUGGCGCGCUCACUGGCUGUGGGCAGCGCUGGCCUCCGCUGCUGAUGGGGGCGGCUAGUGCCGCCCCGGGCGCAGGUGACACUCUCCCGGCCAGGGUUUCCUCUGGCUGGGGAGAGCCCCGGGAGGGCGAGACGCAGACACCUCAGGGGCGCAGGACAAGGCAGCGAUGGCCCGAGAGCUGAGCCAGGAGGCACUACUGGACUUUCUGUGCCAGGCUGGGGGCCGCGUGACCAACGCUGCCUUGCUGAGCCACUUCAAGAGCUUUCUCCGAGACCCUGACGCGUCCCCCAGCCAGCACCAGCACCGCCGCGAGCUCUUCAAGGGCUUCGUCAACUCGGUCGCCGCAGUGCGCCAGGACCCCGACGGCACCAAGUACGUGGUGCUCAAGAGGAGGUACAGGGACCUUUUAGGGGAGGAGGGGCUGCAGCGACCCCGCGAGCCGCCCGCGGCCCCCCACAGUGCAGGGGGAGCUGCGCCCUGCUCCCCGCGAGGCGCGCGCGGGGGGCAGUCGCCCCAGCAGCAGCCCAGGCGGCGGCGGCGCGAGGAGGAGCCGGAGGAGGAGCCAGCAGGUGCAGCAGCCAGAGCCGCCGACGCAGCUUGCAAUGGACUCCCGGUCAGCGGCUCCAGCGCAGCACCCGGGAAGGGCGGCGGAUCGAAGGGCAGUCCCGGACAGAGGGCGCCGGUGCCCGCAACUGCAGCGGCAGGGGCCCAGGCGGGAGCGAGGUGCGCGGCGGCGGAGACACAGGGCCGCUGCUGCUGGGAAUGCCUCCAGAACAACCUGGCGGGGCUCCCGGGAGAGCUCGGCGCACUCCCGGACUCCGCCACCGCAGAGGAGAAGCCUGCACGGGCUCUGCCUGCCCAGGAUAGCCGCGGGGCUUCCAGGGAGCCGGAAGAAGGCGCGCUGGCUGAGCCCGCGCCUGUGCCUGCAACGCAUCGCUCGCCUCUCGCCACCGUCGAGGCUGCGACGAGCAGGGCUUCCCCGCCUGCUCUCCUGCCCGGCCCCGCCCCACGCGGAGACCGGCCGGAGCUGCUGACCCCCAGCUCUCUGCAUUAUUCGACCCUGCAGCAGCAGCAGCAGCGCACUCGGGAGUGGGUGGCCAGGCACCCGCAGGUGCCGGAGGCCCGUGAUCAGGGCCCUGUCCGCGCCUGGUCGGUGCUGCCAGACAACUUCCUCCAGCUGUCCUUGGAACCUGGCUCCAUGGAACCUAACUCAGAGCCGCCAGACCCCCGCCUUUCCUCGCACUCUCUCUUUCCUGUUGUUCCGGAUGAGCCCUGGGAAUCCUGGGCGGGGAACCCUUCAUUGACUGUCUUUCGCAGCAUUCGUUGUCAGCUGUCCCUCCAAGAUCUGGAUGACUUUGUGGACCAGGAGAGUCAUGGCAGUGAGGAGAGCAGCAGCGGGCCCAAAGACUCACCAGGGGCUUCUGAAGAGGGGCUGCAGGUUGUCUUGGGAACCCCAGUUCGGGGGAAGCUCAGGAAUCCAGCUGGGGGCCUUUCUGUAUCUCGGAAGGAAGGCAGCCCCAGUUGGAGCCCUCAGGAUCUCAGAAACAGAGGAGAUGGUCACAUCUCUCAGCAGGUCCCUGCAGGGGCUAAUGGCCUUGCAGGUCACCCCCGGGAGCCUUCGCCUUGGCCAGUUCCUAAGUUAAGGAGGUCCCUCAGGAGGAGCUCUCUGGCAGGGAGAGCCAAAUUAUCCUCCUCUGAUGAGGAGUACCUUGAUGAGGGCUUGCUGAAAAGAAGUCGGCGCCCACCUCGAUCCAGGAAGCCCUCCAAGGCAGGAACAGCACCCAGCGCAAGGGUUGAUGCAGCUUUAUCACCAAAACUUGCAGAGGUUAAGGCUGUUGUGGCUGAGCGGGGUUGGCGGCACAGCUUGUGGGCCCCCAGUGGGGAGGGGCCUGCAGCCUGGGCCCCCCACAGAACUUCUGAGCACAAAUCAUCCCUGGUUCCCCUAGAUGCCAGGGAGCAUGAGUGGAUUGUGAAGCUUGCCAGUGGCUCCUGGAUUCGGGUGUGGACUUUGUUCUGGGAGGACCCUCAACUGGCCUUGCACAAAGACUUUCUGACUGGGUACACAGCUUUGCACUGGAUAGCCAAACAUGGGGACCUCAGGGCUCUUCAGGAUUUGGUCUCUGGAGCAAAGAAGGCAGGGAUUGUCCUUGAUGUAAACGUGAAGUCCAGUUGUGGAUAUACCCCGCUGCAUCUUGCAGCCAUUCACGGCCACCAGGGGGUCAUCAAAUUGCUAGUGCAAAAGUUGGCUUCUCGGGUAAAUGUCAGGGACAGCAGUGGGAAGAAGCCAUGGCAGUAUCUAACCAGUAAUACCUCUGGGGAAAUAUGGCAGCUGUUGGGAGCCCCUCGGGGCAAGCCCAUUUUCCCUGUCUAUCCCUUGGUUGGAAGUUCUUCCCCAACCAGAAAGGCCAAGAGCAAGGAAAUAUCUAGAAGUGUCACCCGAAAGACUUCCUUCGCUGCCCUACUCAAAAGUCAGCACAACAAGUGGAAACUGGCCAACCAGUAUGAGAAAUUCCCCAGUCCAAGGGAAAGAGAAGAGUACAGUGACUGAGAUUUCCAGAUAUUUAUGGAGCAUCUACUGUGUGAUAAAGACACAAUUCCUGCCUUCAAGAGCUCACAGUCUACUGGGGAAGGAGAUGUAAGGGUUGGGUCACUGAAAAUUGCUUCUAGCACAGUGAGGCUCUCAUCCCACAAGAAUGGAGACCUCUGCCUGCUUCACUCCCUGCUGUGCUUCCACGUCUGGAGCAUGCAGUAGGACCUCAGUGAAUGUGUCCUGGAAGAGGGAACACUGAUCGGAAUUUGUCCUCUGAAUGUGCCCACUCACGC